UCUUUUUUUAGCCCAGGUGCAAGAGGAGAAAGGACAACUUCAAAGGUCUUUUGACCAGGUGCAAGAGGAGAAAGGACAACUUCAAAGGUCUUUUGACCAGGUGCAAGAGGAGAAAG